GAUGAACGCUGGCGGCGUGCCUAACACAUGCAAGUCGAGCGAUUCUCUUCGGAGAAGAGCGGCGGACGGGUGUGUAACGCGUGGGUAACCUGCCCUGUACACACGGAUAACAUACCGAAAGGUAUGCUAAUACGAGAUAAUAUGCUUUUAUCGCAUGGUAGAAGUAUCAAAGCUUUUGCGGUACAGGAUGGACCCGCGUCUGAUUAGCUAGUUGGUAAGGUAACGGCUUACCAAGGCGACGAUCAGUAGCCGAUCUGAGAGGGUGAUCGGCCACAUUGGAACUGAGACACGGUCCAAACUCCUACGGGAGGCAGCAGUGGGGAAUAUUGCACAAUGGGCGAAAGCCUGAUGCAGCAACGCCGCGUGAGCGAUGAAGGCCUUAGGGUUGUAAAGUUCUGUCCUCAAGGAAGAUAAUGACGGUACUUGAGGAGGAAGCCCCGGCUAACUACGUG
rnacentral:rRNA from 1 species